rnacentral:tRNA from 1 species
ACUUAAAUAGUUUAAUAAGAAUAUUAAUUUGUGGAGUUAAAGGUAUAAAUUUAUGUUUUAAGUU